rnacentral:lncRNA from 1 species
GGCUGCUUUCCAUUGGAUGGUCAGGGAGGCUUCUUGGAGGAACAGGAUUUAACUUGAGGCCGAAACGGCACAAGGGGAGAGCCAUAUAAAACUAAGGAGAAACGAUUUUAGGAUGAGGGAACAAACCCUGAGGGUGUGAACAAGCUCGGUGCAUCUAGACAUGUAAGGAAGGUUCCAGCAUGUGAAGGAGCGAGGAGGGAGAAGGGUCCGGUGAGGUCUUACAGCAACAGAGGGUCCAGCCACAUGAGGCUGAGCAGCCAAGUGAUCUGCCUACGCAGCUCCCCUUCAUCUUCUGCCAUGAGUGGAAGCAGCCUGAGGCCCUCACCAGAAGCAGAUGUUGGCACUAUGCUUCUUAGACAGCCUGCAAAACUCUGGGAAAGCGGAAAUCUGGAGAACUAAAAUAUCUUGCUGAAGAUCACAAUGCAGUAAAGCAUAGGGCAAGUUUCCAACUGGAACAUCACCCCAGAACACUUCCCUUUAAACAUAAAUUAUGUUGCUAACUUUUUUAUUGUUACUUAGCAGGCAGAUUUCAAACUGAUACAAAUGUUGAAAAUGAUACAAAAUGUUUUCCCACCUUAAAGGCAUUCUGAAACCUAGCACAUAACAUCUGUCACUGAAGUCCAUAGUUUCCAAUGCCAUGAUUGGAUAAAGACCCUAUUGAGACUCAUGUGUUUGUCUCUCACUGUUUUAAGCAACAUGACAAGCACAAAAGAGAACAAGUACUGCUCCUGCUCUCCAGGAAGUUACCAUAAAAUAAAGGGGAUAAGGUGCCUUCCAAAGAAAAAGCAAAUACUAGGAGAGGUCAGAGGAGAAGAGAGAUUAUUCCAGAAGGAGAGACUGAGGCAGAUUUCAGGAGGGAAGAAUAUAAGAGUCCCAAAAGAAGAAACAGGAACCCAGGUUAGAGAGCAAUGGGCAAGGGGUAGGAGGUGAGACUAAACUCACAAGGAAGUUGCUUCAAAACAAUAGUGCCCCAAAUGCCAAGCUGAUGGGUUGGACCCAUUUAGGAAAAACCCACAAAGUCCACAGGAGAGCAGACUGCACUUCCAUGAGCUUCAAGCUGUAAACAGUAACCUCAAAUAAAACUUUUCCCGGAUCGGUAAUUUCCAUCCUGAACAAUGGCCAAGUCAAGGAAGCUGAGGAUCGAGCCCCCUACCGCAUGCCACAAAGAACCUCAAGGGACCCCACGCUCUGGGGAGCUCGCAGGAGGACCAGCACAGAGGUGUGACUGCGUUGGGGCAGGGUGGCCACAUGUACAAUGUUGUACCUUCCAAUGUUCCUCCUUAGGCUGUGCUUAUGAAGUCCCAACAUGUGUUCUGGGCUGUGUUUUCAACCAAGAGAGUUAAUAAAAAGUGGGAUGGGCACCAACUAUGCCUCCAGAGACAUCAGGCAGAAUAUGCCACAGCGUGCCAUGUCCUCCUGCAAACAGUCAGAAAGAAAAGAUCUCUAAAAGCAAAUUGGAAGAGACUAUAUAUACAGAGCAAGUGCCGGUACAAAAGUUUUGCUGCAAAUACACCCUCUAAUCCCUUGCAACCCAUUGCAAGGCUCGAGAGACCAGUGCCCUUGGUAAAACAUAGGAGAGAUCAUUAAUUAAAGCCUAGGCCCUUUCUUUGAUCCUGAGGAAUAAGGCUUGGGAAAAUGCACAGCGAUAAAAGUGAACAUUUUAAAAGAGCAGAAUGAGUGUGAAUUCCCAAAGAGACCAUUCAUAUCAAAACCCAAGCCAUGAGAAAAUGCUACAAUGCCCUUGAUUAAUACUUUAUAGGCAUUUUGACCUCAGAUCUAAUCCCAUGAGGCUUAGACCAAGACCUUGCUUGAUGCAGACCUCUCUGACUGCUGAAAUUGGUCAGGAGCUCAGUGAUGAAAAUUUGGAAAGUCAAUGCUGAUACCUGAAGAAAGUCCCAUCAGAGAUCUGUGACCUGAAUCUUCAUAACUUUCACAGGCCCUUUCUAAAUGCCAAGGAGGAUGUGUGUGGAGAAGAAUAUGCCACCUAUGGCAUCCCAAUAUACCUGUGCCCGCCUGCUCUUCAACAAGGGAAUGAAACCUGGGUAUUCUCAUAGGUUUUUUAAAGCACUUGUCAACAUAUUUUAUUCCGCAAAUAACACAAUUUAAAAUUCAGCUAGAAUUUGCCAUUUUCUGUCAGGGUUGUGCAUUUCUUCCAGUCACCAUGACUUCCUGAGAUAGCCAAAACACAAAAUUUAAAUUGUGUUUAAAUUAAAUAAACACAAUUUAUGCUGAAGCUGACUUUACCCACUCUGUUCCAACAUUACUUAUCCUCAGCAUCUCUGAAUUCAAGUAUCAGCCAGGUGUGGUGGCUCAUACCUGUAAGCCCAGCACUUUGGCAAGCCAAGAUGGGAAGGUUGCUUGAGGAGUUGGAGACCAGCCUGGGCAACAUAGCAAGACCCCCAUCUCUACAAAAAAAUUAAAAAAUUAGCCAGGCAUGGUGGUAGGCACCUUUAGUCCUAGCUACUUGGGAGGCUGAGGUGAGAAGAUCACUUGAGCCCAGGAGCUUGAGGUGGCAGUGAGUCAUGAUCAUACCACUGCACUCUAGCCUGAGCAACAGAGCAAGACCCCAUCCCUUCAAAAAAAAACCUGCCCUCUGUACUUCAUAGCACCUGGGGCAUUUUGAACAGUUCUUCCUUCACCUGAGGUCAUUAUUUGAGAAUCCAAUUUUAGAGACUACAAUGCUCUCAUUACUUGGAUUGUAUCAUUUAAUAAUCUUCCCAACAAUCCAGGAAGGGGAGUCUCUUAAUGAUUGUCCUUGAUUUCCAGUUAAAAAAUCUAGACCCAGAGGUAACCUUGUGAAGGUCACAGAGUUUCAGAGUUCUAAGAUGCCAUGCGAGAUUGCUGAACUUGAACUUGUUUCUUCUGAUCUCAUGUCAAUAAGUGACUUAGUCAAUACCUGGGUAGAAAUCAUCACUAAAGUGAGAGAGCACAUGGUGAGGGGGAUGAAUCCUGUGCCCACAUGGUCCCUUUCACCUGCCCAAUCCUCAGGCCUCUCACCUGGGGUACCCCUCACACACAUGGCACUUUCCUGAACUCAUGGACAUUUCAGUUUGUAACGAUCCUCCUAAGAUUAUCUACUUUCACCUAUCCACAUUUGAACUAUACUUCUUUAGUGGAAAAAAAGAAAUAAAGCCAGUGCUGAGAAUGAUCAAACUCCAGAAAUAGUAGAGUGCUGUAUAAUUUGUCUUGCGUGACACCAGAUCUUUCAAGGAACUGCAAGCUCAAGUGCACAGUUAAGCAAGAUCAAGAUCUACCUUUGUCUUUCAGAGCCUUCCCUUGGCGAGGUCAAGGAUAUCCACUAUGAGCCUGGGCUGGCUGAACCAAAGGGCAAUGGAGGCGGCCAAGAAGCCCCAGCCAACUGCUCCCCUCCCCAACCCCCUUCUCCCUGGAGGUCCCUUCAGCUAGAAUUUGCCAUUUUCUGUCAGGGUUGUGCAUUUCUUCCAGUCACCAUGACUUCCUGAGAUAGCCAAAAGCAUUUGCUGUGAGCAGAGCCCCAUGGCUGGCUUUGCACAUCAAAUAUUUCAGACAGCCAUAUAUUUCAUAGAAUACAAGGGGAAGAUAACACUGGACACACAGAACUUUCCAACAGCUUGAGAAAAUGUGGUGCCUGGUGACUGACUAAAUAUACAAUCGGACAACAGCCAGGCCAUAGCAAAAGAUGGAACUCUGAUCCACAAGGUGCAGCAACUUUCCCAGAAAACAAUACCCUUACCCACAAAAAGCAACCCCGGAAGCCGGCCUGCUCUAAAUCAGACCUGCUGGAAGCCAAAUUGCUCUCUAGUAACUUUCCAGGAAGCUAAAUAAUAACUUCUGUAACAAUUGACCCAAAAUGUUCAGGACUGGAUUAAUAACUGAUGGCUUCCCUAAUUUUUGUCCCCGAUUCCAACUUAGGACCCACCAAAGAAAGCCAAAUAUGCUCCCCUGACCAAGCACACAGGAUGUUCCCUUCUAGUGAGCCGCCUCCAGCUUCCCCGCAUCGAUAACCUCCAAUCAGGGCACACCUGAAGCCUUCGCCUUUUUCCACUAUAAAGCUCUCCCACUCGUCUGCCCACCUUUGAGUCUCUGCCAAAUUGCAAAUGAUGGUGUCUGACUCCCUUGCUGUAGCAAGCUCUGCAUAAUAGCUUUUGCUUAUUCUCUUUGGGGUGCUGCAGAAUUUCUCACUCAUACACACCUAGGGGGAGAGAAAAGACCAGGAAUCAUCAUUUAUUCAGCUAAAAAUCAGAAGGCAG